GCCUAAAGCGUCCGUAGCCGGCUUUGUAAGUUUUCGGUUAAAUCCAUAUGCUCAACAUAUGGGCUGCCGGAAAUACUGCACAGCUAGGGAGUGGGAGAGGUAGACGGUACUCCAUAGGAAGGGGUAAAAUCCUUUGAUCUAUGGAAGACCACCUGUGGCGAAGGCGGUCUACCAGAACACGUUCGACGGUGAGGGAUGAAAGCUGGGGGAGCAAACCGGAUUAGAUACCCGGGUAGUCCCAGCUGUAAACUAUGCAAACUCAGUGAUGCAUUGGCUUGUGGCCAGUGUAGUGCCGCAGGGAAGCCGUUAAGUUUGCCGCCUGGGAAGUACGUACGCAAGUAUGAAACUUAAAGGAAUUGGCGGGGGAGCACCACAAGGGGUGAAGCCUGCGGUUCAAUUGGAGUCAACGCCAGAAAUCUUACCUGGGGAGACAGCAGAAUGAAGGUCAAGCUGAAGACUUUACCAGACAAGCUGAGAGGUGGUGCAUGGCCGUCGUCAGCUCGUGCCGUGAGAUGUCCUGUUAAGUCAGGUAACGAGCGAGAUCCCUGCCGCUAGUUGCUACCAUUACUCUCCGGAGUAGUGGGGCGAAUUAGCGGGACCGCCGCAGUUAAUGUGGAGGAAGGAAGGGGCCACGGCAGGUCAGUAUGCCCCGAA
rnacentral:rRNA from 1 species